ACGGGUAGCCGGCCUGAGAGGGCGACCGGCCACACUGGGACUGAGACACGGCCCAGACUCCUACGGGAGGCAGCAGUGGGGAAUAUUGCGCAAUGGGCGGAAGCCUGACGCAGCGACGCCGCGUGGGGGAUGACGGCCUUCGGGUUGUAAACCUCUUUCGACCGGGACGAAGCUUGUGUGACGGUACCGGUAGAAGAAGCACCGGCCAACUACGUGCCAGCAGCCGCGGUAAUACGUAGGGUGCGAGCGUUGUCCGGAAUUAUUGGGCGUAAAGAGCUCGUAGGCGGUGUGUCGCGUCGAUCGUGAAAACUUGGGGCUUAACUUCGAGCUUGCGGUCGAUACGGGCAUCACUGGAGUUCGGCAGGGGAGACUGGAAUUCCUGGUGUAGCGGUGAAAUGCGCAGAUAUCAGGAGGAACACCGGUGGCGAAGGCGGGUCUCUGGGCCGAUACUGACGCUGAGGAGCGAAAGCGUGGGGAGCGAACAGGAUUAGAUACCCUGGUAGUCCACGCCGUAAACGGUGGGCGCUAGGUGUGGGGGCCAUUCCACGGUCUCUGUGCCG
rnacentral:rRNA from 1 species